UAUAUAUAUAUAUAUAUAUAUAUAUAUCAUAUACCUAUAUGUGAAACCCUUUUCUGAAAUAUUAACGAGUCCACGUCUAUGAGAAGUUCCCCACCGACCGCUCUCAUGCCUCCGUCACGUGUAGCUAAGCUGUCUCUUUGUGUGCUUAAACUCAUUUCCGCCCAAAAUAGCAUUGACGACACACUGGGAUUGAAGAAACGGCGUCGUUUGGCUGCUAAUGAAUGAUGCCUUGGUGCUUGCUUCCGGUCAGCCUGACAUCACCAUGAGGAAGAAGACUUGGUGGUGGGUUUUCCUUAUUGGCGGUGGUGUUUCUUCCGAUGUUGCUUGCCACUGUUGGACCCCUUUAAUUGACACCUCUCCUUCUUUGCAAUGACUCUCUCAAAAUAAGGUAAUACCGACCUAACUUCAGUAUUAAAGGAGUGCAGUUCAUUUGCGUAGUAGAUUCUUCUUGGCACUCUUGGAUUCCCAUUAAACACCACUUCCCCUUCAUUGUGGUCGACUCAGCCUCUUGACUUUCUCUUCAUGCCGACUCCAUGGUUGUUCUGUAUUUAAGGUUAUAAUUUCACAUGUUUGUUGUUAUUUUUUAGGGUUACUCGGUAGGUAUAUUUUGAUAAGGUUUAUGCGUAUUUUUCUAUUUUCUUGAAAUUACAGCCACUUCCUUUGAUUGCUCACCGCUCCAAACAUCUUCAUAUAUUUUGAUUAGUUUUUCGUUUUGUCUGCAGAUGAGCUUCAAUUUAAUCGUUUCCUUACUCCUCAAGGAUCUGUCCUUUCUUCAUUCUUUCUUCAUGGGUUGAAAGCAAAAGGGGGAUACUGCCUCGUAUGUUACUAAAAAGGUUUUGCAGCAGAGUCAACUCAGGGGUUGUGGGUGACAAUCAAUUAUAUGGGUAUUACGCAUCAUCUUUAUAGUGGAAGAUUGGAGCAGGCCGCACUUGACAUGUAAAGCUACUAGAACACUAAUUAAGUCUCACAUCCUUCAUUCUUUCAGUGGAGAAGGUGGGUAAUGUUUAAUGGUCUUCUUUUGGAUUGGCAACCCUAACAGAUUCGAUUGAAGGUUGAUGUUACAAAGAAUUUGAUUAAAGGUUUCCGAUUUGUGAUUAGUGUAGUGUUCAUGGGGGCAGCAAGUUGAUUCUACUGGGAAUGGGCUCAAACGAACCUUCCACCACCUGGUCCCAUACCAAUGCUAUCAAUGAACACCAAUUGGAAAUGAGCAAGAUGGUUUUAGUAAAGACGAGGAAACCAAUAAACAGGUAAUCACAAGAGUUUUGGUGGAUGGGUCGUCGUCGCAUCACGUUAUUUAUUUUUGUCAUAUGCACUUGAUAUCAAGUAUACAAUGUUUUUUAGUACAAUGUAACCUUAUUAAAUAUUCAAU